rnacentral:pre_miRNA from 1 species
AGUGGAAUUGCUGGAUCAUAUGGUAAAUUCUGUUUAAUUUAGAAAGAAUUGCCAUAAUGUUUUCCAUAAUCACUGUACCAUUUUACAUUCCCACCAGCAAU